GGAUUGAGGGUGAUCUGACUGUGACAUCUGUCACCCCAUUGAUAGCCAAUGUUGAUUCUGCUAAUCUGGCUGGAUAGACAGUAUCCUCUUUCUCCCUCUCUGGUCUAUGUGCAUCUCUUUUGAAGCUGCAUGCUCAGUCAAAGAGGACGACAUUCCCUGACAGACCGUUCUUCCGUCAAGGGUAUAGGAGCGCUCCGCUGCUAAGACAAGCUCCAAAGGUCCAUUUGUGGGAGAAGGUAGGGUAGGUAGUCAAGCUUCCAAAUCUCCAGAUACAUCCAAAUGAAGUGCUGCGCGUGGCAAUCUGCCUUCCUGU
rnacentral:snRNA from 1 species